UACGUAGGGUGCUAGCGUUGUUCGGAAUCAUUGGGCGUAAAGCGCGUGUAGGCUGCUUACUAAGUCGGGUGUGAAAUCCCUCGGCUCAACCGAGGAAGUGCAUCCGAAACUAUUAAGCUAGAAGACGGUAGAGGAAGGUGGAAUUCCAAGUGUAGAGGUGAAAUUCGUAGAUAUUUGGAGGAAUACCGGUGGCGAAGGCGGCCUUCUGGGCCGUUCUUGACGCUGAGACGCGAAAGCGUGGGGAGCAAACAGG
rnacentral:rRNA from 1 species